GUUAUAGGGUCAAGCGAACAAGUGCAUGUGGUGGAUGCCUUGGCGAUCACAGGCGAUGAAGGACGCGGUAGCCUGCGAAAAGCUACGGGGAGCUGGCAAACAAGCUUUGAUCCGUAGAUGUCCGAAUGGGGAAACCCACUCCUUAUGGAGUAUCCAUGGCUGAAUACAUAGGCCAUGCGAAGCGAACGCGGUGAACUGAAACAUCUAAGUAACCGCAGGAAAAGAAAUCAACCGAGAUUCCCAAAGUAGUGGCGAGCGAAAUGGGAUGAGCCUUGCACUCUUUAUUUGUAUUGUUAGCCGAACGC
rnacentral:rRNA from 1 species